rnacentral:lncRNA from 1 species
UUUAAUUCAUUAUUGAUACAAGUUUAAUUUACUAAAUAGGUCAAUGUCUGGUCUUUCAUUAGUUACAUGUUUUUAUUCAUGCUUAAUUCUCUCUUCUAACUCAACUUUAAUAUUUGUGUAUACACUUUUAAAUACAAGUUUAAUUCAUUUUGCAAUUAAUUGGUUGAUUUGUUACGAUUGGAUUACUUGUUUAAUUCAUUAUUGAUACAAGUUUAAUUUACUAAAUAGGUCAAUGUCUGGUCUUUCAUUAGUUACAUGUUUUUAUUCAUGCUUAAUUCUCUCUUCUAACUCAACUUUAAUAUUUGUGUAUACACUUUUAAAUACAAGUUUAAUUCAUUUUGCAAUUAAUUGGUUGAUUUGUUACGAUUGGAUUACUUGUUUAAUUCAUUAUUGAUACAAGUUUUUUUCAAUUUAUAUGCAGAUCAAAGAAUGCUCUUUUGUUUGCUACAUUUUGCAUUCAUGUUUGAUUCUCUUAUAAUAAUUCAACUUUAAUAUGUUUGUAAUACAUUUUUAAUUCAAGUUUAAUUCAUUUUGCAGUUUCUUAUGUCUCUUUAUUUGUUACGAUUAAAUUACUUGUCUAAUUAAUUAUUGAUACAAGUUUUAUUCAGUCUAAAAUCAUUGACUACUCUACGAAAAAAAAGGAAAAAGAGCAAUAGUAAGAAAGGGAGAAAGAGCAACAAAAAAGAAAGGAAGGGAGAAUGAAUAACAAAAAGAAUAAAAAGAAAGAAAGAAAGAAAGGAAGGGAGAAAGAGCGAGACAGAGAAAAGAGAGAAAUUAAAGAAGUUGUUAUAAAUGGUAAUAAUUAAAGAGUAUGUUUAAAAUAAGUAAUUAUUUUUAAAAGAAAU